rnacentral:tRNA from 1 species
UAGCAGGUAGUAUAAGUGGAAGUAUGGAAUAUUUUGGGUUUUUCGGAGUUGGUUCGACCCCUUCCCUGCUAA